UCAGAUAUGGUGGAAGGGAUAACAAUAACAUUGCCAAUGUAUGGCAAGAACUCGGGGUUCAAUUCCCUGUAUCUGAA
rnacentral:tRNA from 1 species